rnacentral:rRNA from 1 species
AGCGAACGCUGGCGGCAGGCUUAACACAUGCAAGUCGAACGGGCACUUCGGUGCUAGUGGCAGACGGGUGAGUAACACGUGGGAACGUACCUUUCGGUUCGGAAUAAUUCAGGGAAACUUGGACUAAUACCGGAUACGCCCUUCGGGGGGAAGAUUUAUCGCCGAUAGAUAGGCCCGCGUCUGAUUAGCUAGUUGGUGAGGUAAAGGCUCACCAAGGCGACGAUCAGUAGCUGGUCUGAGAGGAUGAUCAGCCACAUUGGGACUGAGACACGGCCCAAACUCCUACGGGAGGCAGCAGUGGGGAAUAUUGGACAAUGGGCGCAAGCCUGAUCCAGCCAUGCCGCGUGAGUGAUGAAGGCCUUAGGGUUGUAAAGCUCUUUUGUCCGGGAAGAUAAUGACUGUGCCGGAAGAAUAAGCCCCGGCUAACUUCGUGCCAGCAGCCGCGGUAACAC